UUUUAACAAAGGUUUAAAAGAAAAGGGCACAAAAUGGACAAAGACUUAAAUGAGGUUGUUAGUUCUUUUUCUUUUUAUGAAAGUUAAGUCAAUAUGAUUAAGUUUAUUUACUAGUUUCAUUAAGAAAAUAUUUUGAAAAUCAAUGGCAUAAGGCCAAAGUUUCUACUUAUUAAAACAAGUCUCAGUUGUAAAACACAAGGAAAAGAAGUUUUUAAAAGGAGGGAGAGAUUUUGAAAUUAAAGAAUGAAAGGAGGAUAUGAAGAGACUAUCCUAGA
rnacentral:lncRNA from 1 species